AAGUCGUAACAAGGUUUCCGUAGGUGAACCUGCGGAAGGAUCAUUACCGAUUUAGCGAACCUGACCUCUUUUGGUCAUGGUCUCGCGAAAAUUUUGUAUUUAAAACCCCACUCUUUUUUGUUAAUAAUUUUAAAUGAAAUCAUUUUAUUAUGUAAAUAAAGAUCACUUUCAACAACGGAUCUCUUGGCUCUC
rnacentral:misc_RNA from 1 species